ensembl:snRNA U1 U1 spliceosomal RNA
AUACUUACCUGGCUGGGGAGAUCCUAUGAUUAAGAAUCUGGUUUUCCCAGGAUGAAGCUCAUCCACUAUCCGUCAGAUGUGCUGACCCUGUGAUUUCCACUAAAGUGGAGGAAACUUAAUUACAUAAUUUGUGGUAGUAGAGUACUAUAAUCAUGCUUUCCUCCU